rnacentral:lncRNA from 1 species
CCGAUAGGCACUCAUUACCCCGAAUGCCAAUCGAAAUCCUGCAAGGCUUAGCAUCAGCUUCCGCAUCUCCCCAGUGAGCGACAGUUAUUAAAUCUCACAUUUCAAAAAAAUCAUAAGUCAUUUCCAAAUCAAAACAAUAGAAUAUUACUUUCUGGCUCACAGGGGCAUUUUCGUCAUUUUUCUUCGAAAAUACCGAAACUCACCAAAAACAUGGUGUAAAAGCUAAAUAUAUUCAUACAUACUUUAAAUCAAAUAACUGAAGAAUAAAAUUACUUUUACAGUGACACGUGGGCCCCCAACUGACUAAGAAGAUGUAGGGCUAUGAACCCUUACUUUCUAGGAUGUAACUCCGAGAUUAAUUCUCGUCUUAAUCAACUAUCAACAAAUUGUCCUGAGCCUAAAAAAUGGAUAGGAAGAGGGGUGAGAUUAUGAUUACAUAGUCCCAGUGAGUGGACAGAUAUCAUCAAAAUAAUCUAAAGCCGAGUAAUAGGAGACAAUUAAAAUAAUUCAUCCCAACCCAUAUAAAUAAUUGGAUUUCAUUCAAUUACUCAACAUGGCUUAUGCACUUUUCAAAAACUUGGCCCUUGCCAAAAAUCCUUUCUCGGGGAUACCCCGCGGAGGCAUCUUACCGAGACCGCCAAGGCUGUUUAUUGUCACACACACAAACACAUUUCACCUCUGACAACACAGUCGUUCCUUGGCGUUGGCUGAGUCUCACUCUCACGUGGUGGCCCGAACGUGAGGUGCACUCAAAUCGUACCUCGGGAGUUAUCCUACGCGCCUCUCCAAUCGAGGUAAGCUCAAUAAUUGGGAACCGUGCCCCUCUAAUUAGGCUAGCCCACGAAACCCCCGUCUCUGUAGUGCCCACUUUAUAAUCCACCAACCAAUAAAAUUACAAUAGUAUGACAUGGCUCACUUAACACAUUCAAGGCAAAUUAAAGCAGUUCACAUAUUCUUUAAAUCAUAAAAAUAACAAGUCAUACCCACAUGUCUCAUAAGCCAUUUAAUGUAAAAUCAUGGAUAAACAACACAAUCAUAGUGUAGGUCUCCAAUUACUCUAUUUUUGAAAUCAUUAUUAAAUUUGUAAAAAUUUUAUAAAAUUAUUUUAUAAAAUCUCAUUUUCCCAUAAAACAUAAUAAUUUUCCAAUUAAACCAUUUUUCCAUAAAAUCACACAAUUAAAUAAAUCUACUAUAGAUAAUUAAGACGAUAGUAAGUUUACUCACAGUUCUAGGAGUCGAUAUACUCCUAUUUUCAGUCCACGGGUACAGUCUUCUACCCGUAUCUAAUGGCUCACCACCUAGCCAUAAUCCAUGGCACAUAUUUCAAUUAAAUUGUGUCUAACAGUCAUAAGCUAUUUCAGGCUCGAUAUAUAUGCAUGAGAUGAAAUGAAAAAUGCAUGGGUGGCCAUCUAGACCUAGUAUUGGCCUAAGUCGAUUUUUCAUCCGAUAAAUUGGCCAAUGCGUCCAAUUUCACUCAAACUUUCUCAAUUUCUUUUCCAAUCCCUCAAUUCACCAAGCACAACUAAUUAACACAUAAUUAGGCAAAUUUAUCUUCACUUUUCUUCUUGGAACUUUCGGCCAACAAUGGUACACUAACUCUGUGAUUUUUCCUACUUAAUUUUCUCUCCAUAAUUCAUUAAUUCCUACAUAAAAAACUAUUAUUUCUUAAUCAAAUCACCUAGAACAACAUCCCAUUCUUCCUCUUUAUUCACUUAGAGAAUUCGGCUAUUGAUGGGCACCAAACCUUUGGUGGUUUUCUUCACUUGUUUUCAUGCUACACAUCAUUAAUCACCUAAAAACACUAACAUACCUAAAAAUCAAACCAAUCCAAGAUCAUUCUCUCUCCAUACCCAUUUUGAUCAGCCAUGAAUUCAUCAUGAAAAUAUGUAAUUUAACCAUGGAAAUUAAGGGAAAAUGCAUGGGUAAGGUAAAUCACUAGCAAAAUCAAAGAAAUUUUACCUUUGCUUGAUCAAAUCCUUGAAUUCCAACACUUUCUCUUUGAUUUAUCCCACCUAGGGUUUGUUUUUCC